rnacentral:lncRNA from 1 species
CCUUACUAUAUUUAGAAUAGUGGUCGAUCCUUCGGGAGUUACAUUCGUAACUUAAUGUAAUGUUAUGUUCACGCGGUGAUAUUCUAUCUUUCCAAGAGUACUACCCUGUACGUAGUCUAUGUCUGGGGAGCAUACUUGACAGGAGAUAGACACAGGCGGUAGAGGGGUCCCCCACUUCGAUUCCCGCCCCGUUAGCAUCUACGAUCCUAGAUAAGGGAUUAGUCCGUUAGGUCUUUUCGGUCCGGAGCCGGCUGGUAAUGGACCUACUUACCUUGCUUGUAGACCUGCUGCGGAGCUAACCCUUGUUCUAUUGGUUUGGUGGUUGAGCGGGUGGCUGAGCGUUAUCGCGAGCUAAUUUUGCCACUGAAUAUUCCAUUUUCGUUAGAGAAAUCGUUAGUAUCGUCAGUUGGUGCUUUGGAGUUUGCUAAGCAGUUCUUCGUACGCGGAGUGACUAAGGGCUUUUUUCCUGUCUCCUCUCACAUGUUAAGAUCCUUAGUUAGUUCCAUAUCCCUUGUUCCUGUAAUGAGGGCUAUUAUGUCUAAGGAUCUUCCAUUGUCGUAUCGUUUACGGGAAGCUGGGUACCGAGUGUAUACUCGACGCACGGCGCCUCCUAGGAGACACUGGAAUCGGCAUUUCCUGAGGCGAGCUUUCAGAAGCUCAAGACAACUUUGACUGUGGUGCUAGUGAUUGUUUUUCCUACAGGUUCAGGGCCAUAUAUAGUAUAUUGUGAUGCAUCUCGUAUUGGACUUGGUGAGGUGUUGACGCAGAAUGGUGAGGUUAUUGCAUAUUUUUCGUGAUAGUUGAAGAUUCACGAGAAGAAUUAUCCAGUUCAUGAUUUGGAGCUAGCAGCCAUUGUUCACGCGCUGAAGAAUUGGAGGCACUAUUUAUAUGGCGUGUCGUGUGAGCUUUUCACGGAUCACAAGAGUCUACAAUAUGUGUUCAAACAGAAGAAACUAAACUUGAGGAAGAGGAGGUGGUUGGAGCUGAUGAAAGACUAUGAUAUCACCAUCUUGUGUCAUCCGGGGAAGUCCAAUGUAGUGGCUGAUGCUUUGAGUAGGAAGUCAGCAAGUAUGGGCAGCGAUGCGUAUAUUCCACUCACUGAGUGACCGCUUGCUUUGGAAGUUCAGGCUUUAGCCAAUCAGUUCGUGAGAUUGGAUGUUUCUGAGCCCAGCCGUGUUUUAGCUUGUAUAGUCACUUGGUCUUCAUUAUUUGGGCAUAUCAGGGAUCGAUAUUAUGACGAUAUUCACUAGCUAGUCUUUAGAGACACAGUGCGGCACGGUAGUGCCCAGCAGGUUACAGUUGGAGAUGAUGGAGUUUUGAGGAUGUAGGGUCGAGUUUGUGUGCCUAAUAUGGAUGGACCUCGUGAGUUGAUUCUAGAAGAGGCCCACAGUGCCUGAUAUUCUAUUCAUCUGGGAACUGCGAAGACGUAUCAGGAUUUGCGGCAGCAUUAUUGGUGGAGGAGGAUGAACAAAGAUGUUGUUGCAUAUGUAGCUCUGUGUUUGAAUCGUCAGCAGGUAAAGUACGAGUAUCAUAUACCUGGUGGUUUGCUUUAGAAGAUUGAGAAUUCUGAGUGGAAGUGGGAGCAUAUCACUAUGGAGUUCAUUGUUAGACUCCCACAGACUUAGACGAAGUCCGAUGCGAUUUGGGUUAUUGUUGAUAUGCUGACUAAGUCAGCGUAUUUCAUUCCUCUGGUGGUCUCUUAUUCUUCAAAGAAGUUAGCUGAGAUCUAUAUCCGGGAGAUUUUCAUCUUUAUGGUUUGCGCGUGUCUAUUAUUUCUAACCAAGGUACAUAGUUUGCCUCGUAUUUCUAGAGGGCAGUUCGGUGUAAGUUGGGUACACGGGUCGAGUUGACCACAACAUUUCAUCAUCAGAAGGACGGACAGUCCGAGCGUACUAUUUAGAUUUUGGAGGAUAUGCUUCGCGCCUAUGAUAUUGAUUUUGGAGGUUCUUGGGAUCAUUUCUUGCCAUUAGCGAAGUUUUCCUACAAUAAAACCUAUCAAUCAAGCAUCCAGAUGGCUCCAUAUUAGGAAUUAUAUGGUAGACGGUGUUGAUCGCCAAUUGGAUAGUUUGAGCGGGAAGAGGCUCAGUUGUCGGGUACAUAUUUAGUAUAGAUUGCCUUGGACAUGGUUAAGAUCAGUCAGGAUAGUCUUCGUACAACUCAAUCCAGGAAAAAGAUUUAUGUUGAUCAUAAGGUUCGCGAUGUGUCAUUCAUGUUUAGAGAGUGAGUGUUGCUUCGGGUGACACCCAUCAAGGGCGUGAUGAUAUUUGGGAAGAAGGGCAAGCUAAGCCAUAAAUUCAUUGAACCUUUUGAGAUUCGUGAUCGAGUGAGAGAGGUGGCUUACAGACUUGCGUUGCCUCCGAGUUUAUCAGUUGUGCGUCCAGUGUUUCAUGUGGCCAUGCUUCAGAAGUGGGACGGAGAUCCAUCCCACGUGUUAGACUUCAACACUGUAUAGUUGGACAAGUACUUGACUUAUGAGGAGAAGCCGAUAGCUAUUCUAGACUGGCAGGUUCGUUAGCUGAAAUUGAAGAAGUUCCUUUCAGUUCGUGUGCAGUGAAGAGGUCAUCCUUUUGAGGUAGCGACUUGGAAGUUCGAGUCCAACAUGCGGAUCCAAUAUCCCCAUCUUUUCACCAGCUCAUGUACUUUUCUAUGUCCGUUCGAGGACGAUUAGUUGUUUUAGAGGUGAAGAAUGUGAUGACCCAAAGGGUCUUCUUUUGUUUUAUAAUACGAAUCCUGGUUCUGAGGCCUUGAAAAUCUCAUUAUCUUCCUCCUCGAUUUCCAUGCGUAGUCCGGGCGCAUUUCCGGAAAGCUUUUAUGUGAAUUUAUAAGAAAAUUAGAAAUUUGCUUUUAAAAUUGAUUGAAGUUGACUUUGGUCAAUUUUUUGGGUAAAAAGAUCCGGAGCCAUUAUUUUGUGGUCCCGGAGGGUCCAUAGUAAAAUAUGAAACAUGGACGUAAGCCCGAAAUCGAAUUCCGAGGUCCCUAGCCCGAGAAAUUAUUUUUUAAAGAAAAUCAUUUGCUGGAAAAUAUAAGUACUUUUGGAAAUUAAAUGGUGUGUUAUCUUGAUGGUAUCAUGCUAAUAUUUAGGUUUUGGACCCCAAAACAAGUUUAAUAUAAUAUUUAAGUCAUAUCUGUGAAAUUUUGUGAGAAUUAGAGUUGAUUUUACGUGAUUCGGAUGUCGUGUUGUGAAAAUAGUAAAUUUGAAGUUUUCUUGAGGAAAAUCAUGAGUUGAGGUUAAAUUCGUAGUUGUUGAUGCUAUUUUGAUGAUUUGAUUGCACGAGCAAGUCUAUAUGGUAUUUUUAGACUUGCGUGCAUAUUUGGUUUGGAGCCCCAAGGGCUCGGGUCAGUUUUAAAUAGGCUGGAGAGUGAUUAGAACUUAGGAAAACUCAGCUAUGCAUCUAGUAUUUUGCACAGGCCUCUGAUCUCACAAAUGCGAGAUCUGGCUUCACAAAUGUGAAGUCUACCGGCCUGGGAAAUGCGACAAUAUUCUCGCAAAUACGAAGAAGACUUGGAAAGGCCAACUUCACAAAUGUGAAUUUUUGGACGAAAUUGCGAAGGCCCAGAGGUCGCAAAUUCGACAUAUAUAUCCCAAAUGUGAAGGCAGUAGAAUUCAAAGGGUUCGCAAUUUGUAAUUUCGAUAACUUCAACCUAUUAAGUGAGAUUUUAGACGGGAUUUUCACUUCAUUCUUCAAAAUUUCAAAACCUAAACUCCAAAGGGCGAUUUUCCUAGAGCAAGUGUUUCCCGAAAUCAUAGGUAAAUGAAUCUUAAAUCUAUUUCUUCAAUCUAUUUCAUCUUUUUACAUGAUUUCACUUCAAAAUCUAGGGUUUUUUCAUGGGAAAUUGGGUGUUCUUGGGUAAAAAUUAGGAUUUUCGAAUUUUGGGGAUUUGGACCUCAAUUUGAGGUCAGAUUUCAAAACCAAUUGCAUAUUUGAGUUCGUGGGUGAAUGGAUAAUUAGGUUUUGGUUCGUACUUCAAUUUUGACUAAGAGGGCCGGGGUCGAUUUUUGACUUUUUGGGAAAAAUAUUAGAAAAUCCAUAUUCAUGCAUUAGAAGUGAUUCAACUAGAAUUUAUUGAUGUUAUUAAGUAAAUUAUGACUAGAUACAAGUGAAUUGAAAGAAGAAUCGAGAGAUAAAGCAGUAAUUGAGGCUUGAUUUUGUUUAUGUAAUUGAGGUGUUGUGGUCUUAUUUGCUACGUGUUAGUGUUGAGUACAACGUAUAGGUGUGGUGAUUAGAAUCUAUAUGUUGGUGUCGAGCAUACUGGUGAGUCUUAUACCAUGAUUGUUGUGACUCUUAUUAUAUAACGUCAGCACUUAAAUUGAUGAUUAUCAAUGUUGAUCAAGACUUAUGAUAAAUUCUUGGUAAUUGACAAUUUUUGAGUAUGGGCUCAAGUUGAGAUUUAUUUUGUGAAGUAAAUAUUGGAACGAGAUUGGUUAUAACAAUUCUUUUGCAGGGAUGUAUUUGUUUCUAUUGUUGAUUUCCUAGGUGGGAUGUUUUAUUUCUAUUCUCUGGGUGAGGAAGAGUGUAAAGCACGAAGGGUGAUGUCGUGCAUGAUAUUGUAAGUGAGUGUUAAUGCACAGAAGGUGAUGUCGUUCCGAUAUUGUGAGUGUUAAUGCACGAAAGGUGAUGUCGUAUCAUGAUUUGAGAGUUAACGCACGAAAGGUGAUGUUGUGCCAUUUCUAUUAGUUUUUAUGGUGAGAACGACAGUAAAAGCACAAAGGGAAAUACCGUGCACGUGUUACUGUUUCAUUAUUCUUGUUGAUACAAAUAUGGUGUUCAUUAUGAUUCUCUAUUGAAUUACUGUUAGAAUUUGAUAUUCCCCGCAGCAUGUUCCCAUUCCCAUCUUUAUCUGUUAUUUGCUGUUAUUAUUGUUCUAUUCGUAUAUGAUUUAACUGCACAAGUUUAUAUGGCUGUCGUAUCCUAGCCUCCUCACUACUUCGCCGAGGUUAGGCUCGACACUUACCAGUACAUGGGGUCAGUUUUACUGAUACUGCACUCUGUACUCUUUGCGCAGAUUUUGGUGUCGGACCUUGUGAGUAGCUUAGAGGUUGUUGCCU